rnacentral:rRNA from 1 species
UACGGAGGAUCCAGGCGUUAUCCGGAAUCAUUGGGUUUAAAGGGUCCGUAGGCGGUUUAGUAAGUCAGUGGUGAAAGCCCAUCGCUCAACGGUGGAACGGCCAUUGAUACUGCUAGACUUGAAUUAUUAGGAAGUAACUAGAAUAUGUAGUGUAGCGGUGAAAUGCUUAGAGAUUACAUGGAAUACCAAUUGCGAAGGCAGGUUACUACUAAUGGAUUGACGCUGAUGGACGAAAGCGUGGGUAGCGAACAGG